GGGGCAAUAGAGAUUGAUAAAAUAUUAGUGGCGGCAAUAUGAACCUAGGAAUUUCAUAGUCCUUAUUUCUUAGUAUCUUUUAUUUUAUGUAUGACAAUCUGGUUAGAUAUAUGUACUUUAUAUAUGCGUAUGAUAUGUACUUUAUAUAUUUAUUUUUUAUCUUGAUACUAUGUGUACUUUAUAUGCGCUUUGUUAUACUAUAUGUACUUUAUUGAUUUUUUGAUGUUAUUGAAUGAAGAAUUGAUAUUGU
rnacentral:lncRNA from 1 species